UCAUGGAAUACAUCAUGUUCCCUGUAGCUGUGCUGCUGCUGGUUUCUGGAUCCUAUGUGACGUGUGAGCAGUUGACACAGCCAGCCUCUGUGACUGUGCAGCCAGGUCAGCGUCUGACCAUCACCUGUCAGGUCUCUUAUUCUGUGAGCAGCUGGAGGACUCACUGGAUCAGAGAGCCUGCGGGUAAAGGACUGGAGUGGAUUGGAAGUGCACAUGAUGGAUGGAGCACAUACUACAAAGAUUCACUGAAGAACAAGUUCACCAUCAGCUUAGACAGUUCCAGCAAGACAAUGACUCUGAAUGGACAGAAUGUGCAGCCUGAAGACACUGCUGUGUAUUACUGCGCCAGAGAUGCACAAUAA